rnacentral:rRNA from 1 species
CCUGGCGGCCUUAGCGCGGUGGUCCCACCUGACCCAUGCCGAACUCAGAAGUGAAACGCCGUAGCGCCGAUGUAGUGUGGGGUCUCCCCAUGCGAGAGUAGGGAACUGCCAGGC